AGAGGGCGCACGGACACACUGGAACUGAAACACGGUCCAGACUCCUACGGGAGGCAGCAGUGGGGAAUUUUGCGCAAUGGGGGAAACCCUGACGCAGCAACGCCGCGUGGAGGAUGAAAUCCCUUGGGAUGUAAACUCCUUUCGAUAGGGAAGAUAAUGACGGUACCUAUAGAAGAAGCCCCGGCUAACUUCGUGCCAGCAGCCGCGGUAAUACGAGGGGGGCAAGCGUUGUUCGGAUUUAUUGGGCGUAAAGGGUGCGUAGGCGGUUUGGCAAGUCUUGUGUGAAAUCUUUGGGCUCAACCCAAAGUCUGCAUAAGAAACUGCCGGGCUUGAGUAUGGGAGAGGUGAGUGGAAUUUCCGGUGUAGCGGUGAAAUGCGUAGAUAUCGGAAGGAACACCUGUGGCGAAAGCGGCUCACUGGACCAUUACUGACGCUGAGGCACGAAAGCUAGGGGAGCAAACAGGAUUAGAUACCCUGGUAGUCCUAGCCCUAAACGAUGAUUGUUUGAUGUGGCAGGUACCCAAUCCUGCCGUGUCGAAGCUAACGC
rnacentral:rRNA from 1 species